rnacentral:rRNA from 1 species
UACGUAGGUGACCAGCGUUGUCCGGAUUUACUGGGCGUAAAGAGCGCGCAAGCGGUCGUUCAAGUCGAGUGUGAAAGCCCCCGGCUCAACUGGGGAGGGUCACUCGAUACUGAUCGACUUGAAGGCAGGAGAGGGAAGCGGAAUUCCCGGUGUAGUGGUGAAAUGCGUAGAUAUCGGGAGGAACACCAGUGGCGAAGGCG